UCCACUCUGCCUCCUCCCUGAAUGCUCUGCCCCACUUCUCUCUCACCCUCCUCUGCUUCCCGUGAAUCAGCGGUUCGUGCAGGAAGCCUGGGAGGCCUGAGAAGCAGUGUGGCAGCUUCGCACUCAGGCCCCGGGAGGUGAAGAUGGAGCAGAGGGAUGUGAGGAGAGCUGCCUGUGCUACAGCAAGUAACCUGUGAGGGGGCGCGCAAGGAAACUGCUCCCCGCUCCAGCUCAUCUCCGCUCCACCUCCACAGGCCUAAGCAUGAAGCUGUUGCUUGCUUGUCAGCCCUUCCAGGCUUCCCGUAUGAACAGCUGAUUUGUGGGAAGCUGGGGGCCUGUGAGCUUGGCCUGACCCAGUGCUCUAGGCACUGCGGGGCAGUGGCAUGGCCCAGCUCCAGCCAAGCAGUGCAGCUGUAGUGCCGCCAGCCACCUCCAGGCAGCACAGUAAGGGGGGAAUGGGGGUGGAUACGGGUCAGGCAGGUCAGAGGGCAAGGAACAGGGGUGUUGAAUGGAGGCAAGAGUCCCGGGGGGUCAUCAGGAAUGAGAGGAGGGCUUGGAUGGAGUGGCAGGGGGGGGUCAGGGGACAGUAAA